UAACAAGUUUGCCCGUUCGAUUGCUCGUCAAAAGCAAAGUCUAGAAGUGCACAGGAAGAAAGCCCGCGAGGAUUUGCAUUAGCUUCAGUUUAUCCUCUUUGAUGAGACGAUGACGAAGGAAGACAAAGUGGCUAUCCAAAGAAACAUCGCACGGGGAGAAGGAAUCGCCUCCCCUGAAUCCUAAGCCAUUCCUUUCUGCUGUUGAAUUGAAUGUGGAUUCACCCACAAGAACCUAACUAAAAUCGACAAGCAAGGAAUCCAAACCCAUUUCCCGCACGCCCAAUAUAAAUGCCCCUCUCUUCUGUUCAUCAUCUCACCCCUUUUUCUUCAUCAGCCAAAAGAAUAAGAAUCCCCGAAACUCUCCUCCUCGCCCCCGCUACCAUGUCAUCUGCCCGUCGUCCUCCUGUAGUCGUCAAUGGAAUCAGGAGAAUGAGGACUUUCCAUUACUAUUGGUGUCGUGUAUGCCAGCGGGCCGUUCGGCUCGCGUGUAAUGAUCCAUACGACACAUCUUGUCCCUUCUGUUUCAACGAACUGCAUUGCGAGCUCGAUGUGUCGAGGCCAAGAUUAGUGGCUGAUCUUGGAGGCCGCGUGCCCAAUCGGGCUGUUCAAUUACUCGAUAGCAUGGCUCGGCUGCUCGACCAACCCCCGACGAUGAGGCAGGGUUUUGAUUUUGGCAGGACGGUCAUAUGGGAAACAGAAAGCGGAGAUGGCCCAUUUUCAAGUUCGCGAGAUACACUGCAGUUCUUCGAACGACCUCGCCGGCCGGGGCUUGUCCAUCCACGAGAGAACCCGGCACCUAGAGCGAAUCUUAGGAGCAAUGACAGCGGCGAUGAGAAUUCCUUGAAUGAGCUUAUCGAAGAGUUGACACAGAAUGACCGCCCGGGACCCCCUCCUGCACCUGCUUCAUCUAUCGAAUCCUUACCCACGGUUGAAGUAACCGAAAAACAUCUGAGCAGCGACAUGCACUGCCCCGUAUGCAAGGAAGAGUUUGAGAUCGGAGGCGGCGAAGUAAGGGAGAUGCCGUGCAAGCACUUUUAUCAUUCGGAUUGCAUCGUCCCGUGGCUGCACAUCCACAACACAUGUCCCGUCUGCCGCUACCAACUCCACGAAUCUUCUGGCGACAAAUUUCCCGACGAUGGCGACGAACUGUCUGAUGUCGAGCAAAGUACAAGCUGGAUGAACUCGUGGUGGAGUGACUUGUUUUCUUCGUGGCCGUUCCAAGCAUUCUCACGAUGGAUCCAUGAAGCCCUCGAUGUUCCUGAACAGGGGGCAGGCACUUUGGACGGGGGUAGAUCCUGGUGGCACUCCUGGUUCGUCAUAUAACUUCGUUGCAUUAAGGCAAGGACAUGGCUACUCCGUCGAUGGUUCAUGUCCUACAAACUCACAUAGCUCAGUUCAUCUCAUUGAAUGCAUGGUGCAUCAGGCAGAGCAGAGCAGCAAUUGGAUCUCCAUGGCGUGAAGGGUCGAUAACUUCAACCUUAUCAGAAACUUGAGCUUCAUACAGAUUUUCAACCCCAGAAGGAGAUAGAGAGGGAACUAUCACCAGCUGAAACUUACCCAUCAGGAAAGAAAUGUGGAAUAAUUUGUGUUGUUAUGGCAAUUAGUUUUCUUUUGGAGAUCAGUGAGCAUAUGAAUCUACAAUUCAUGGAUCAUAACCAUAUUGACUGAUUAUUAAAAAGCUUUCCAAAUU